rnacentral:miRNA from 1 species
GGGUGGGGGCAGGCGUGUGUGUGUGUGUGUGUGUGUGUGUGUGUCCCUGGCUCAUAUGGCUGAAGGCACA